AUGAAAGAUACAUUGGCAGAACAGCCUGAGAAGAAGCUUAGUCACAGAAUUCGUCCAAAAAGAGCAAAAGUUUCGGAAGUCAAAACUUUACUGGAAAAACCUGAUCAUGAGAUAGAUCGCAUGAAGCUAAGUGUGAUGCAUCUCAGGUUGUUACAUGACGCCAGAGAGCGUAUUAAGAGUAAGACAAUUCCGUCAGGACCAUCAUCCUCUAAUCAAAGCACCUCCCAGUUUGGAGAUACCAACAGUUUUGAUCAUUUUGAAGAGAACUAUGACAAUGACAGAAGAGAGAACCACGUGCUAGAAAAUGCAACCAAACUGAAUUACCAUUCCUACAUGAACAAACAAGCACGGGCCAAAUGGUCAAAAUCUGACACUGACUUAUUUUACCAGGCUCUUCAACAAUUUGGUAGUGAUUUUGCAAUGAUACAGCAGCUAUUCCCUGAUAAGUCCCGUGAUCAGGUGCGGCAGAAGUUUAAAACCGAGGAGAAAAAACAUCCAAUGCAAGUCCACGAUGCUAUACUUCAUCGCUCAAGAGAUAAUUUGUAUUUAAAACAAGUAAUCAAACAGCUCAACAUUGAAGAUCUGCAGAGGGACAUCAACAGUACACAUAAACAAGAGGUUGCAUCAAUUGAAGGAGACACUGGAAAUGAGCAUGUGUUGCAGGACUUCAUGGAGGAAGAGAAUGAUUCAAAUUGGUCAGAUAAAGAGCUGGGCAUGCGCCAAUCUGAGGUCAGAGAGGGGGAGCAUGUUUCUGGGAAUGCUGAUGAUGACCUGGAUCUGGAUGUUUUUGAUUGGUACUAG
rnacentral:rRNA from 1 species